rnacentral:lncRNA from 1 species
UUUAUAGAAUUUCAAUUUCUUUAGCUCAAAGCAGUUUCCGAGUCAAUACGCAUAUAAAGUGUGUUGUUCAGAAUAGACCAACAGCCGUCGAUUAAUGAUUUAAAAAAGUCCAGAAAGAGUUUAAACUACGGCAACAUUUUCGGUUAUUUUGGAUCAGAAGGGUCUAGUGCCAUUGUGGAAAACAAUGUAUUAUUGACCUUAAUAAAUUAUUUCCACCACGGCCCAGAAGCGCGAGUCAUCACUGUUUCGUCGCCAAAUUCGACUUUUUGCGAGAAGAUUGAUUAGGAAUGAUUAUUGACUGCAAAACUGACCAAUACGCGACACUCGUGUUUUCUUCAGUUGAAACUCCAUUCACAAAUCUUCACAUUUAAGUCUUGAAGCGGCGGACGAAAAAAUGAUGAGCUAGAAUAGAAAAUGGUCGUAACAUGCUUCGCCUAUAAAACCCCAUUUUCUUCAAGCAAUUCGCAUAAGAACGGUCAUAAAUGAAUGCUGCUGCGUUCCCAAUUUUCUUUCCAACGCUUGUUUAUCGUCGAUGGGGCUUCAUAAUUUAAACAGCGUACAAGUGAUGUAUAUAUAUAUUUAAGUACACCUAUAUAUACAUGUACAAACUGUGUAAAAAGUAUGGAAAAUAGAUACAAACGUUAUACAGGG